CAACAUUUACUAAUACGACAAGCACAAAAAAACGUCUCAUAUAAAUAAAUUUUCUUUAAAAAAAUUUGAAAAAAUAAAUUAAAAAAAAAGAAAACAAAUUAAAUUUUCGUCACGUUCUGCGCAUGUAAAUUAUGGCCAAGCUAAAGCCAAAACAUAUCAAAUGUUGUUGCUGUUCUGCUUGUUGUUGUAGACUGUUAUUUUGGUUGUUUUUGUGCCCCAUGUGGAGCGACUGGGAGCGGAAAUAAAGCGUAUAAUUGUUCAACACGCAUCUGUGGGCCUACAAACAUUGGAAACCUUCCACGAAAUUUGUUUUCAUGACUUUGCUUGGAGUUAUUUUUAUUGCCAAAAGUGUGCCAAAAUAAAACUGUAGUCGAUAAACUGCACACUUUUGUCUUUAGAUAUCUAAUACGAUAAUGUCAUGAAUCAAUCAAGCUGCACAGUCAACUAUCAGUCCGCUGAAUGUAAAUCGAAAGCUAAACCGAUUGAAGAUAAUCACCGAUGAUGACACAAUUGCUCAAUAAUACUCGUUGGAUCUGCGACUGGAAAAUCAAAACCAACAUAACAUUCACAAUUUAUGGGGUCCGAGAAAAAGAGGAGCGUCAGCAUCUGGCAUCGUUCUGUGUUGGCGUCUGAUUGCUGUAGGUGUGCGAGUGAAUUUGUGGUUGAAAGUGACUGAAGAUGAAAUGCGAGGGUCGAACGCAAAAUAAUCAACCUUGGCUAUUAAUUGGUUUAUGUUAUAAAGGUAAUUCAAUUCAUUAACCGAAUAUACCCUCAUAAAAAUAAUAUGAUCUCCCUGUGUAUCGCUUCUCUUGAAAGGAAACUACUCUCUUGAGUUCACAUUUUGCCUCUUCAACUACCAGCUUCCAUUGCCAAUUCGAGUCUCAUUCAACACGCAGUCAGUUUUUUUUAUGCCAAUCCAAUUAAAAACCACUAAAAAUGCGCCAUAAAAGGCAGAGGCCGGCCUGGUCAGACCAGACCCGGUAAUUAUGUAAGCAGCGCAGACUGCGAAUGCAAUAAUAAUGAUAAAAACCAAAAAUAAUACCAGCAAAUAAUGCCAGACAUAUUUACGUGCCAGUUUUGGCGACAUCUUGAAUUCAUCAUUGAGCAAAAAGCGCGCUCGUAAAACAUCAACUUGUCUGUACUGCAAACGAAGAGCUUGAGCUUCCUGCACUCGUUGGGGUUUCCCAACAGUAAGAAAACUGACAUCAAAUGCACUGAAAAUGGGGACAUUGAGCCACUGCAGAAGUUAUAUAACUUUGAAUUCAACUCUUUUUUUAGGCGCGGGAAUAUAAUAAGCUACCCUGUGAAUUGUGAAUCGGGCUAAAAACUGUGAACAACAUCGUACUAAAAGUUUCAGGCAAGACAUUUGCUUAUCAGCUUAUCGUGGCGCAUUAUUUGCUCUUUAAUAAAAUAACAAUUAUGUAUCUAACAUACAUGUUUGUUUAUGACACGCCCAGCUGUUAAUUAAAAAUAAACUCAUUUAAAUGUU